rnacentral:rRNA from 1 species
CCUACGGGCGCAGCAGUGAGGAAUAUUGGUCAAUGGGCGAGAGCCUGAACCAGUCAAGUCGCGUGAAGGAUGACGGCCCUAUGGGUUGUAAACUUCUUUUGUCAGGGAGCAAUUGGGUCCACGCGUGGGCUUAGCGAGAGUACCUGAAGAAAAAGCAUCGGCUAACUCCGUGCCAGCAGCCGCGGUAAUACGGAGGAUGCGAGCGUUAUCCGGAUUUAUUGGGUUUAAAGGGUGCGUAGGCGGAAUAUCAAGUCAGCGGUAAAAAUUCGGGGCUCAACCCCGGCGAGCCGUUGAAACUGGCGGGC